CAGUAGCCGCGGGAAUACGUAGGUCCCGAGCGUUGUCCGGAUUUAUUGGGCGUAAAGCGAGCGCAGGCGGUUAGAUAAGUCUGAAGUUAAAGGCUGUGGCUUAACCAUAGUAUGCUUUGGAAACUGUUUAACUUGAGUGCAGAAGGGGAGAGUGGAAUUCCAUGUGUAGCGGUGAAAUGCGUAGAUAUAUGGAGGAACACCGGUGGCGAAAGCGGCUCUCUGGUCUGUAACUGACGCUGAGGCUCGAAAGCGUGGGGAGCAAACAGGAUUAGAUACCCCGGUAGUCCCUGUCUCUUAUACC
rnacentral:rRNA from 1 species